rnacentral:lncRNA from 1 species
GAAGCCCUGGCCAGGGACAGGGGAGUGCAAGGGAAGGCUCGGUGACCCAGGCACAUGGUGCAAACCUAGGACCUCCACCUCCCAGCUCUGUAGCCAGGGGCAGCUCACUCCACCCUGGUCCCUGGAGUGUGCUUACAGGCUUCCGUGUUGGGGGGCUGCGAGGCCUGGGCAGCAAACCGCCUUGUACUGCCUCUGGCCUGUGGAUAGUAGAUGCUCAAUAAACCUCUCCUUCCUGUCAGAAACUCAGUCUCCCUAUGUGGAUGACAGCAUUUUCCUAAAGGAUCUAAAGUUCCAUCCACCUUAAACUCUGCCUGAAGGGAAGACUAUGAAACUAGAAAAGAAAAUGGUGUGGAUUUGUGUGCUACUGCAGACACUGCUGCGACAUAUAUUAAGGAGCAUGGAACGGAACCGCGUGGAUGAUAAAGUCUGCGUGGUGUUUACAAAGGAAUAUUCAUAAGCACUUUCUGAGAAGCCCCGUGCAGCUGCUAACAGUGACUGCCUAGGGGAAAAUGGACUUGAAGGAGUAGAGGCCAACUUUUCAUUUUAUACCUUUCUAUACUUUUUAGGACUACCACCUAUGUACGUGCAUUUUAUUUUUGUUAAAUGUUCGCAGGGGAUAUCUGGCAGGACAAGGAACUGGCUGGAAAGGGGCGCGAGGAGAUCUUCUGGGUGACGGAGAUCCAGGUGGUGGUUACUCAGAUGUAUUUUAUCCUUCAAUGAGAAGUUUAUUUCGAAAACGUCCUGUGUCUCUUCCAAAGAUAGCUCCAGCUGGGCAAAGUGGCAGCUCUGUGGGCUCCAACGGAAGAGGCCAAAAGGCCCAUCCUCCUCCUGUCCCCUGGGUUCAAUUCACAGCCCUGCCUGUCUCUAGCUGUGUGAUCCUGGACGUGCCUCUCUGCUUCCUCAGCUCCUGCUUCAAGACAGGCCUAACCAAAUUUUGAGAAGUCCCCAGCAGAGCUCCCGACCCUAGUAGGUGCCUAGUAAUUGUUUUUCUCUCCCUCUACUGUAACGAAAGCCUGCGAGACAUGAGCUCUCUUUCCCAAUGCUCCCGGCCCUCUGCCACUUGUUAGUUUCAAUCCCUGAAGCAGCCCUGGUUACUAGUUAUGGGGUCCCUGAUGACCCACUGUGGGGCUUGGGCUGUGGCUGGGAGAUGCUGGAGACUGUGGCCCUCGCGGGGGACUGGCAGCCUGGCCCCAAAAGGUUUCCCAUUUGGAUUGAACACGUGCACAAAGAGGCUGCCAGGCUGGACUCACCAGCUGCACCUCCCACUGAGGGCCCCUCCUGCAGUCUUGGAGUGGGCUGGGCCCCCUGCCUCUGGGGAAAGCCCCUCCUUUCACAGUUCUCCACUGAAUCCCUUUGAUCCCCUCUUAAGAGGUCACAAAGCCCUCUUUGACUGAGUGCCAGAAAUUAAUCUGGAUAGAAUUCCUGCCUUUUCAACCUGGAUGAAGCAGGCAGGUGGCUGGGCCUGGAAGGGGAUCAAGGCCGACUCCCGCCCAUCCUUGCCUCCCCACCAUUCUGCCUUCCUUCUCGGAGGGUAGGACCCUCCAAGAAUGGACCCACGGUGCCUGCCUGGAAGUUCCACAGAAGCUUCUGUGAGAAAACCCCACGGAGGCACAGCCAGAGCCAGUGGCACUGACCCGGCCUCCAGGAGCACUCGCCCCAUAGGCCUGGGCGGUCACUCAAGCAGGACGGGGGACACUGUCACUGCCUCUGUCAACUGGGUGGCCAGGCAGGGGCUAUGUUGAGAAGAGCUCUGCCUCAGGGCAAAGCAUGCGGUGGCUGAUGGGUGAUGCCCGCCCUGGGCUCAUGAGUCGGUGGCCUGCGUGCCACACAUGUGCCUCCGUCUUCUGCAGCCCCGUCUCCUAGCAUCCUCCGACACCAAGAGCCUGUUUUCCUCUGUGUCCUUGUAGAUCAGAGAAGAAGAAUGAAUGUUCUGAGUGGGUACCACAUGGCAGGUGCUAUUCUAAAUACUGAACAGCUGUGAACCCAUUUAAUCCCCGUAAGAAACUGGUGAGCUUGGUUUCAUUUGACUCAAGAGGCCCAGAGACGAAAGCAACUGGUCCAGGGUCACACAGCCAGCAGGAAGUGGAUCAGGGUUGGAACCUGGGCAGUCUGGCCCUGAAGCGCUGCAGAAAGUAUUAUUUUGGGAGCAAAUAGGUAAUAGGUGGUGAGAGCCACCUAAAAAUACCCCUCCUCUCUGGCCCAGUAACCACUUCUAGAAAUCUGCCCUAAACAAGUAACUCAAAUAAAGCGAAAGCUGAGAUA